rnacentral:rRNA from 1 species
UAGGGAAUCUUCCGCAAUGGGCGAAAGCCUGACGGAGCAACGCCGCGUGAGUGAUGAAGGUCUUAGGAUCGUAAAACUCUGUUAUUAGGGAAGAACAAACGUGUAAGUAACUGUGCACGUCUUGACGGUACCUAAUCAGAAAGCCACGGCUAACUACGUGCCAGCAGCCGCGGUAAUACGUAGGUGGCAAGCGUUAUCCGGAAUUAUUGGGCGUAAAGCGCGCGUAGGCGGUUUUUUAAGUCUGAUGUGAAAGCCCACGGCUCAACCGUGGAGGGUCAUUGGAAACUGGAAAACUUGAGUGCAGAAGAGGAAAGUGGAAUUCCAUGUGUAGCGGUGAAAUGCGCAGAGAUAUGGAGGAACACCAGUGGCGAAGGCGACUUUCUGGUCUGUAACUGACGCUGAUGUGCGAAAGCGUGGGGAUCAAACA